GANUAGCUAGUUGGUGGGGUAAAGGCCUACCAAGGCGACGAUGUCUAUCNGGUCUGAGAGGAUGAUCGGACACACUNGAACUGAGACNCGGUCCAGGCUCUNACGGGAGGCAGCNGUGGGGAAUAUUGCGCNAUGGGGGAAACCCUGACGCAGCAACGCCGCGUGAGUGAGGAAGGACUUCGGUCUGUAAAGCUCUGUUNAUGUGGAAAAAUGGCAGUUGGUCUAAUAGGCCCAUUGUUUGAUGGUACACAUAGAGGAAGCACCGGCUAGAAUCUNGGAGGGGGAAGGNAUUACGCAUGUAGGGGUNAAAUCCGUAGAUAUGNGAUGGAANNCCAGAGGCGAAGGCGCNUUCCUGGACGAGGAUUGAGCUGAGGNNNNNAAGCGUGGGGAUCAAACAGGAUUAGAUACCCUGGUAGUCCACGCUGUAAACGAUGAACUCUAGUUAUUGGAGGAUUUNACCCCUUCAGUGUCGUACUAACGCGUUNAGUGUUCCGCCUGGGAAGNCGGUCAGUUGGGGACUCUNGAAAGACUCUGGGCNNANCAGGAGGAAGGUGGGGAUGACGUNAAGUCCUCAUGGCCCUUAUGUCUAGGGCUACNGNUGUAAUNCUAUGGUCGGUACCAAGGGAUGCGAACUUGCGAGGGGGAGCCAAUCUCAAAAAACCCAUCUCAGUCCGGAUUGGAGUCUGCNACUCGACUCCAUGAAGUUGGAAUCGCUAGUNAUCGCGGAUCAGAANGCCGCCGUGAAUACGUUC
rnacentral:rRNA from 1 species